CUUAUUUGGUGAAAUUUUAAUUACUUUGUGCUGUGUAUUUUUCAAUAAUUUAGGGUCAGCAAAAUCGCCAUACGUUGCAUCAUUGUAUCAAAGCAACUUUGUGAGCCCACAGUCUAAAAAAUCAUGGUUAGUAGAAAUACCUAAUGUAGUUACUUCUGAAAAUUAAUAAGCGUAAACUUUAGAAGAACACAAUGUGAAUACCGAACAUAUCUGUAACAUAAAACGACAAGUGAAACAAAAACAGAAAAAGGUCCGUGUAAAAGGGCCUUUUUCUUUCUAUUAUUUUCCGAGUGUUUCAUCAUUGCUGUACCCUGAAUGGACUUCCCGGAAGGUCCGCGUCCGGUGAAUGCAUCGUGCCAAAAUCGUGGUCAUCGUUUAGAUUUCUGGUGCAGUACGAACCGUCUCUCGACUUGGGUGACGCAAUCCAUCCCGACAGCCUGUUGUUCUUCAUUGUCAGGCCGCCAUCUUCUAAAGAUCGUCGAGCACCGAAAUCGGCAGCGCACGCCAUCGUUCAUGAAUGGACUCACAUUACCGUCGAUCAACAAGAAAGGACACUGAAGUGCUACGUCACCGUAAGCACAGACCGGACAAAUAGCAAGCCCUUGGUCAUCGCAAUCCCCGAUAGCCCCCCUUUAUGAUGGGCUGUCGAUAUACAAAACCACCACCUAGGAUUCGGAUCCGAAAACAAGAACUAAACAUGCAAGUACCCAUUAUGUAACGUCACUAAUAAAAUUGUUAAAUGUUAAACCUC